rnacentral:rRNA from 1 species
UACGGAGGAUCCAAGCGUUAUCCGGAAUCAUUGGGUUUAAAGGGUCCGUAGGCGGUUUGGUAAGUCAGUGGUGAAAUCCCCGAGCUUAACUUGGGAACUGCCGUUGAUACUAUCUGUCUUGAAUACUGUGGAGGUAAGCGGAAUAUGUCAUGUAGCGGUGAAAUGCUUAGAUAUGACAUAGAACACCGAUUGCGAAGGCAGCUUGCUACACAGUCAUUGACGCUGAGGCAAGAAAGCGUGGGG